GACGAACGCUGGCGGCGUGCUUAACACAUGCAAGUCGAACGGUGAAGCGAGUGCUUGCACUCGUGGAUCAGUGGCGAACAGGUGAGUAACACGUGAGUAACCUGCCCAUCACUCUGGGAUAAGCACUGGAAACGGUGUCUAAUACUGGAUACGACCAACCCUUGCAUGGGGUGUUGGUGGAAAGAUUUAUCGGUGAUGGAUGGACUCGCGGCCUAUCAGCUUGUUGGCGGGGUAAUGGCCCACCAAGGCGACGACGGGUAGCCGGCCUGAGAGGGUGACCGGCCACACUGGGACUGAGACACGGCCCAGACUCCUACGGGAGGCAGCAGUGGGGAAUAUUGCACAAUGGGCGAAAGCCUGAUACAGCGACGCCGCGUGAGGGAUGACGGCCUUCGGGUUGUAAACCUCUUUCAGCAGGGAAGAAGCGAAAGUGACGGUACCUGCAGAAGAAGCACCGGCUAACUACGUG
rnacentral:rRNA from 1 species